rnacentral:lncRNA from 1 species
CGAGCACGAGUGCACGCGGUGCCCCGCCUCUAGGAGACGUCGAUGGACUCCCCAGGCCCCAAGGGACGAGGGCUCAGCAGGCCCGGUCGGGGCCUGGAGACCAGCGGCUGGGAGCAGUGAGCUGCAGCUGCUUGCUCCUUGCCGAAGCUCCAGGAAGCGGGAAUGCUGGCCCUGAGGUGAGGUGAGGAGCAGAGGGCCCCUUCGUGGGAUUCAGGCCUCGGCUGCAGGGGGCCUGCUUUCUUCCCCAGACCGUGGUUCCAUCCCCAUAACGCACAUCCCCAUACCGCAGCCCAUCUUCCUUUUAGGAAGUCCUUUUAGCAUGUCCACCACUGCUCUUUGUGGCAAAUGCCCCCAGGACGUCGCCUCCUCUUCGGAGCCCAUAGCAUCUGCUCAGUCAGCCUCUCUUCCUCCUCCCUCCGGGCAGCACCCUGCAGAACUCACUGUCCCAGAUGGGCUGUCUGAGCCCUCGCCUUUGCAGUUUCUUAUCCUUCACCCUUCCAGUGACCGGUGUCCAUCUAGCCCACCCCCCCAGCUGUCCCCUGGGAACUUGCUGCCACGAGGCCUCUCGGUGCUCACCACUCUGGCUCUGCCGUCCCCCUCUCUGGCACAGAUGUUCUCCUGCCUGGCUCAUCCUCUCUGCUCCGUGUUACUUCUCUGCAUCCCCUCCCCUCUGCUGCGCCUGUUACCCAUUUUCCUCACUUGCCGAGAGGUGCAGAGUGCACCAUGGAGAAUGCUGCCUCUGCCUCCCAUGUGCUUCUUUGAGGCCCAGGGAAGGUUCCCGUUGGCUCCUGCCACGUGUUUUGCAGCACCACAGGUCUGGGACCGGCUUGACCCAAACUCCCAGUUUCCCCCAUAUACUUCUCGGCAGGUCCGGUUUCCUCCUCUCUGAAACGCCUUUUGCCCGUCUUUCUGUUGAGCUGCUGGUCUCUUUGGUGCGGAGUUGUGGGAGCUGGUUCUGAAGCCUGGGUGCUCAUCUCCCCUUGGUUGUUUGCGUUUCAGAUUCCUCCUCUGGCCCUCGGGGGCUGCUCUCCUCCUCCCUUUGCAUGCCUGCUUUGCACUCGGCAUUCACCUAGACUCUGGAAGUAGCAAACUUCUGCAGUGUACAAUUUUAUGACUUUGGACUGAAGCACAAAGCCGUGUAUCCAUCACCACAAUCAAGAUACAGAAGAGUUCUAUCACACCGCAAAUUGCCUGAAAGAAACAUUUCAACAGAGAACCAAGUCAAAAUUGAGACGUUAUCUUCUCAAAGUGCUGAACUCCCAUCCCUGCCGCAGAAGGAACUCCUCUGUUCACAGAAGCUGAAGCCAGUCCGAAGUCCAGCUCCUUCCCAAGGGUAAUCCUGUUUGGAUGUUGGAUGCACACCUGCCCAAGCAUUGUGCUCUCGAAAUGACGAAUUUUUGGAUUCAGUUAUGAGGUGCCCACAUGCUCGGACAUAAAUGGCUCACAGCAUAAUGGUGGCAGAGAGAACUAUUAUGUUGUUCUACAUUUUCUGUCUCCUUGCUCCUCAAUUGCAAACUUACAUUUUUUUUAAGUUUAAAAUUACAUUGUAGAAAAAGUGUAAAAUGCAGAAAGAUGAAAAUAAAUAAAUCAUCUGUGGCCCUACCACUUGGAG